rnacentral:rRNA from 1 species
GGGGGGGGGGGGGGGGGGGGCGGGGGGGGGGGGGGGGGGGGGGUGGAGGGAGCUUGCGCCUGGAUUCGGCGGCGGGCGGGGGAGGAAGGCCUAGGAAUCUGCCUGGUAGUGGGGGAUAACGUCCGGAAACGGGCGCUAAUACCGCAUACGUCCUGAGGGAGAAAGUGGGGGAUCUUCGGACCUCACGCUAUCAGCUGAGCCUAGGUCGGAUUAGCUAGUUGGUGGGGUAAAGGCCUCCCAAGGCGACGAUCCGUAACUGGUCUGAGAGGAUGAUCAGUCACACUGGAACUGAGACACGGUCCAGACUCCUACGGGAGGCAGCAGUGGGGAAUAUUGGACAAUGGGCGAAAGCCUGAUCCAGCCAUGCCGCGUGUGUGAAGAAGGUCUUCGGAUUGUAAAGCACUUUAAGUUGGGAGGAAGGGCAGUAAGUUAAUACCUUGCUGUUUUGACGUUACCAACAGAAUAAGCACCGGCUAACUUCGUG